GAUGAACGCUAGCGGCAGGCUUAAUACAUGCAAGUCGAGGGGUAACAGGUCUGUAGCAAUACAGAUGCUGACGACCGGCAAACGGGUGCGGAACACGUACAGAACCUUCCUUCGAGUGGGAGAUAGCCCAGGGAAACUUGGAGUAAUAUCCCAUAGGAUCAUAGAGUGGCAUCACUUAGUGAUUAAAGAUUUAUCGCUUGAAGAUGGCUGUGCGGCUGAUUAGGUAGCUGGUGUAGGUAACGGCUCACCAAGCCUUCGAUCAGUAACUGGGGGGAGAGCCCGACAAAUCACACUGGCACUGAGAAGCGCGCCCGGCUGCUGCGGGAGGUAGCAGUAGGGAAUAUUGGGGAAUGGAGGCAACUCUGACGCAGCCAUGACGCGUGGAACAUGAAGGUCCGUUGGAUUGUAAACUUCUUUUAAUUGGGAAGAAAUGCCAAUUUUCUAAUUUGGUUGACGGUACCAGAUGAAUAAGCACCGGCUAACUCCGUGCCAGCAGCCGCAGUAACAC
rnacentral:rRNA from 1 species